UUGGUGGAUUGAGAAAUAAAUCUAAGAAAUAAAUUCAUAAUGAUGUUGUUAAGUGUAAAAUACCUAUGAAAAAAGAUCUAAAGACUGUGAUGCCAAAAGUUACUUUAAGUCAAAUAAUAGUUUUCAUCCAUAGCAACAUUUAGCCUCAUAAUUGCAUGUUAGGUAACUUUCGGACUCGUGCGCUUCGUAUAUGUGAAAACAGGUAAUUAACCCAUCAUUCCGGGCACAAUUUUGUUUUUGGAACGAAGUACUAGAUUAAUAAAUUUAAAAUUGGAAACCCGAAAUUUCAACACAAGCCGGUGAAAUUCAUGAGGUGUAUUAUUUCACGAUAUGGAUUCGUAAAAUUUAAGGCACAAUCUCAACAUUCAAAUUGUAAUUGAUAGACUCCGGCUUUAUCUAGUUAAGUAAUUUUAUCUUUGUUGUUCAGUAACUGAUUUCUGGUUGAAUUAAUUUUUAUAAAUGAAAUAUUAACAUUUUUAUUCACUCUAUUUAGUAUGUUUUUAAUUUUGUAAGAUAAUGUUUCAAUAAAAUCCAGAAAAUAAUAUCUACCUAUGUCUUCCUUAGUAUCAUGGUCCGUUUUGAACAACGAGCAACAUUGUUUUUUUUUUAAUUUUGUAUCUUAUUUUGUCAAUUAGAUUGUGGAUUAAUUUUACUUUAAAGUCAUUAUUUAUUGCAAUUUGUUUUAUGGACUGAAGUUCUUUAUUAUAGUUUUCAUGGUUUAGAUUAGAAUUGAACAAUAUUUCAAUUAAAGAUGCAAAAGUUGAUAUUUUAUGAAUCCAUAGGUGGUUGGAAGAAUUGCAAAUAAUGUUGUCUGUGUAUGUUUUAUUGGCCCAAUAUCUUACAAAAUUAAAAACAUUCUUGGAGAAAUAUUAAACACGAGAGGCCAAAAGUUGCUAUAAACGAAGUCAUUCUUUUCAUCUUUAGUACACUUUGACCCCAUAUGGAUUCAUACAAAACAACUUUCAGGCUCACAGUCCAAGGGGACAUUAAAUUAGUAACCCUUGUUUUAAGAAUACCAAAUCGUCUUUCAAAUAUCGGCGGAUUGAGAAAUUAAUAAAUCAAAGGGACAGAUUUAUAAUUAUGUUGUUUACUGUGGAGUAUCUACGAAAAAAAUCCAAAGACUGUGAUUCCAAAAGUUAAUUUAAAUCAAAUAAUAGUUUUUAUCCAUAGCAACAUUUGGGUUCAUAAUUACUGCUCCAUUAAAAUAUUAAACUGGUUUUUCAAAUUUCGCUUGUUUCUUGGAUAAAAUAAUAUAAAAUACGAGAGGCCAAAAAUUGCUACAAAUGUAAUUAAUGAUUAUAAAAGAGUAUAAGUAAUUAUUUUCAUCUUUAGUACACUUUUGUCACACAAAUUCAUACAAAACAACUUUCAGGUUCACAACUCAAGCUAAAGUUAAAUUAAUUGUCGUUGUUUUAAGAUUAUCAAAUUGUGAUUCAAAUACCGGAAGAAAGAAAAACAAAUCUAAGAAACAAUUUCAUGGUGAUACUAUUAACUGUAAAGUACCCAUGAAAAAAAUCUAAAGAAUGCGAUAUCAAAAGUUACUUUAUAUCAAAUAAUACAUUUCAUGCAUAGUAACAUUUGAUCUUAUAAUUACAUGUUUCGGAAUAAUGAGCUUCAUAUCUAUCAUUUCAAGUACAAUUUUUGUUUUUGGAAAUGAAAUUCCAAGUGAUUAGAAAAUAAAACAGAAGCUCAAAAAUGUAUGGAAACGAUGCAUGACGUUCCAAGAUAUUAAUUCCUAAAAUUUAAAGCACACCCUUAAGCAAAUAUCCAGAUUGGCUCCAUAAGUAGAAAAAUAAUUUAAGAGAUUAACAAAAACUUGUACUGCUAAUUGUAGAAGUGCCUGUACACACAACCAUAAAAGUAAAUUUCUUACUCCAACUUAAACUGGUAUUUUAAAAUUGACAUGUACGCCUUUCUUGGAGAAAUAUAAAAAGAGAGGUUAAAAGCUGCUAAAAAAUAGUAAUGUUUCUUUUUUCGAAAUCGCGCAGUAAUGUGCUUUUUCUAUGUUCAAAAAUCGGCACAGAAAUUAAAUGCGGUGUUGUCAUAUUAGUAUUAUCUACCUCCACAAUUACAUUUUACAAGGUUAUAAAUUGUUUUUCGGUUUAGCAGUAAUUCUAUACUCUUUGAUAACCCUUUUUAUUAGUUAUUAGAAACACAUCCGGUUUAUUAAUUUUAUAAAUAUAAUUUAUUAACUAAAUUUGCGCGUAAUCUCGCAACGUCGCAACCUUGCAUGGCAACAGCGGAUUUCUUGAAGUGCAGCGACAUUCUAUGGCAGCGAACAAUGUGUAUCCACAUAACCUGUAAUAAGUUUUUGUUCGGUGCAGAAACAACCAUGGAAAACAUUAUAUGGAGAAUAUCUCAUUUUGCAUACGAGUAUUUCGCUGAAAAAGAAAAUUCUGUGAAAUCAACAUUUUGGGCUACAUAGUCGUUGUUAAAGUCAACUCUGUUAAUAUAAAACAGCAUAGAUAUAAUCUAAGUACACCAAGUUCUCAAGCAAAAAAUAUAGGUUAUGUUUCCCAGAAAUCAAAUAUAUUUACAAGAGAAAACUUACGAAAAUUUUUAACAGAGUCCCGUGAUUAAUGUACCUAAUGUCAAAGGUAUAUUUUUUAUUCGAAGUUGUAGGAGUAUGCGGAAAGGAAGAAUUUGAACAAUUUUCUUGUAUCUACAUAACCUAUAAUAAGCUUUUAUUAUUAUUACAGAACAGAUUAUUAGCUUACAUGCCCAUUUUAAAUGAAAGUAUGAAGCAUACCUCUUAUUUUUCGGCACUUUUAAUAUUUUUGCUUGCAGAAAGAUCUGCAGCAAUUGCAAAAUAGAGAUGGAUAGCAAUAAUAACAAGCAGUUUACAUGCAUUCGACCGAACUUGCAAAAACUGGCAGAUAAUAUAUCAAAUUUAUUACCUAAAAACUCAGCCACAGUUUAUGAAAAGCGGUAUGAAUUUUUUUUUUUUUUGCGCAGAAACAACCAUGCAAAAUAUAUGGAGAACACCUCAUUGCAUACGAGUAUUUCGCUGAAAAAGCAAAUUCUGUGAAAUCUUUAACACUUUGGGCUGCAUAGUCGUAGUUAAAGUCAACUCUGUUAAUAAAAAACAGCAUAGAUAUAUCUAAGUACACCAAGUUUUCAAGCAAAAAAUAUAGGUUACAUUGCCAAGAAAUCAAAUAUAUUUACAAGAGAAGACUUACCAAAAUUUUUAACAGAAGCCCGUGAUUAAAUGUACACGAUGUUAAAGGUUUAUUUUUUAUUAGAAGUUGUAGGAGCAUGUGGAAUGGAUAAAUUGAAAAAUAAUGACGGCAUUCAAGACAAAAACGAUACGCUAAUAAUUAAAAUUCCAACGUCUAAAACUGGCAAAGCACGAGAAUUUACAAAUAUGUGUAAAAAUAUUUAUCCAAUUGAAAUAUAGUAAAAAUACCUAAUUUUAAGACCGCACCAUACACCAGACAAAUCAUUAUUUAUACAUUACAUUUGGAUAGUGAAUGCAGCAGCUGCUGCAUUGUACAAAUAUACCUGCAAACACACUGUAACAAAUUAUGCAGACACCUCUUUUGACUAAAAGAUAUAUAUUUAACUUUAUCCAUACGUUGUCAACUUUGUUAAUAAUUGCAAUCUCUAACUUCAAAAGAAAUAUGAAUAAUCUACUUUGGUGUUUUAUAGUAGUAUUAAAUGUUCAUAGAAUAUAAUUGCACUUACUACGAAGUAAGCUUUCCUAGUUUUAAGUUGUUUUCUUUUCUCUUUGAUUAUCUUAAUUUCUUCAGCCUCUAUGUGGCUGUUUUAAUUCCAAAAAAUUGUUUCUGAAUAAACUGAUUCAUACCA